GACGAACGCUGGCGGCGCGCCUAACACAUGCAAGUCGAACGAGCGAGCGAGAGCUUGCUUUCUUGAGCGAGUGGCGAACGGGUGAGUAACGCGUGAGGAACCUGCCUCAAAGAGGGGGACAACAGUUGGAAACGACUGCUAAUACCGCAUAAGCCCACGGUGCCGCAUGGCACAGAGGGAAAAGGAGCAAUCCGCUUUGAGAUGGCCUCGCGUCCGAUUAGCUAGUUGGUGAGGUAACGGCCCACCAAGGCGACGAUCGGUAGCCGGACUGAGAGGUUGAACGGCCACAUUGGGACUGAGACACGGCCCAGACUCCUACGGGAGGCAGAAGUGGGGAAUAUUGCAAAAUGGGGGAAACCCUGAUGCAGCGACGCCGCGUGGAGGAAGAAGGUCUUCGGAUUGUAAACUCCUGUUGUUGGGGAAGAUAAUGACGGUACCCAAAAAGGAAGUGACGGCUAACUACGUG
rnacentral:rRNA from 1 species